AUGCACCCAUUUACACAUAACGAGUACACCUUCAAGGUAGGGGCGGUCGAUACACACAUUUACACACAACGAGUACAGCUUCAAGGUAGGGGCGGUCGAUACACACAUUUACACACAACGAGUACAGCUUCAAGGUAGGGGCAGUCGAUACACACAUUUACACACAACGAGUACAGCUUCAAGGUAGGGGCGGUCGAUACACACAAUGAGUACAGCUUCAAGGUAGGGGCGGUCGAUACACACAUUUACACACAAUGAGUACAGCUUCAA